CAAUAGCAUAUAUUAACGUUGUUGCAGUUGAAAAGCUCGUAGUUGAACUUUUGGUAGGAGCGACCUGGCCUUGGGCGCAUGCCCUUGUUUGCCGUGUGUCGUGUCUGGCCAUCCUUUUCCGCUUCGGCGGGAAUCUUUUACUGUGAGUAGACUGGAGUGCUCAAAACAAGACGUUUGUUUGGUACAUUAAAGCAUGGAAUAAUAAGAUAGGACCUGGUUACUAUUUUGUUGGUUUGCAUAGCUAGGUAAUGAUUAACAGGGACAGUUGGGGGUAUUCGUAUUUAAUUGUCAGAGGUGAAAUUCUUGGAUUUAUGAAAGACGAACGACUGCGAAAGCAUUUACCAAGGAUGUUUUCAUUAA
rnacentral:rRNA from 1 species